CGUCAGCUCGUGUCGUGAGAUGUUGGGUUAAGUCCCGCAACGAGCGCAACCCUUAUCUUUAGUUGCCAGCAUUCAGUUGGGCACUCUAGAGAGACUGCCGUCGACAAGACGGAGGAAGGCGGGGAUGACGUCAAAUCAUCAUGCCCCUUAUGACCUGGGCUACACACGUGCUACAAUGGUUGGUACAACGGGAUGCUACCUCGCGAGAGGACGCCAAUCUCUUAAAACCAAUCUCAGUUCGGAUUGUAGGCUGCAACUCGCCUACAUGAAGUCGGAAUCGCUAGUAAUCGCGGAUCAGCAUGCCGCGGUGAAUACGUUCCCGGGCCUUGUACACACCGCCCGUCACACCACGGGAGUUUGCAACACCCGAAGUCGGUGAGGUAACCGCAAGGAGCCAGCCGCCGAAGGUGGGGUAGAUGACUGGGGUGAAGUCGUAACAAGGUAUCCGUACCGGAAGGUGCGGAUGGAUCACCUCCUUUCUAUGGAG
rnacentral:rRNA from 1 species